rnacentral:snoRNA from 1 species
CGCAGGAUGCACAAAACUGAUUCAGGCGUGCCGACGCACGCAUCAGGAGCCCCCUGACUGAGAGACUAUCAUGCACCACUCUGAGG